rnacentral:rRNA from 1 species
GACGUAGGGCGCGAGCGUUGUCCGGAUUUAUUGGGCGUAAAGAGCUCGUAGGCGGCUUGUCGCGUCGUCCGUGAAAACUUGGGGCUCAACUCCAAGCUUGCGGUCGAUACGGGCAGGCUAGAGUUCGGUAGGGGAGGACUGGAAUUCCUGGUGUAGCGGUGAAAUGCGCAGAUAUCAGGAGGAACACCGAUGGCGAAGGCAGGUCUCUGGGCCGAUACUGACGCUGAGGAGCGAAAGCGUGGGGAGCGAACAGG